AUUAUCUGCAAAUUUGAAAAGCCUCAGUUAAAGCUUUCCUCUCCCUUCUCUGAGUAUUUCUUAACGCCAAAUACAUCAUGUCAGAAAUCUGCAUUUUGAUUCACUUCAUGGUUGCUUGAAUGCCCUCUACUCAAUAAGGAGAACCUCACUGCCUCCCCAAAGAAGUCACGCACAUUAGGUAUAACAAAUUGCCUUCUUAAAGUAAUUGUUUCUUCAUUUACCGUAAUACAAGUCAGGCACUCCACUCAGACUAAAUACUUCAUUUUUAGACAACAAAUUGAGGUUAUUCCCAUCUUGCGUGCCAAAAACCUACAUUUCAGAGCUUAAGCAGUGCACUGCACCUCUUUCAGGCUGAGGUAAGUUGCAUAGCUUACACAAAAUACACAGCUAGUGUAAACCAAGUGGACACACAGAAGCAUGGAUGAUCAAACCUAGCAGGAGUUUCAAAAGGUAUCUCACUAAAUUACCUACAAAUAUCAGUGAAAAUAUUUGUGGUAAUUAAAAUACUGUGAUGUGACAGCAUUUUAAAAACAUUUACAAAUGAUUGCGCUUAUCUUUGUCUCUUGCAUGUUUUCUGUGAAUUUAUCAGGUGAGUGAAUGAGAUAUAAGCUUACCCUGAGCUGAAAGGAAAGAAAACAGAAGCAUGUAGACUACCUGGAACACAAUGGGACAGCUUGUUUCACAGGUUCUCCUCAUCUUUUCUGAUCACUUUGGAUUGUGCAUCUUCAAGGGCUGGCAUAACCAGGCUGGCUCCAGUGACAGUGGCUGAGGGUGUCCGUGCUCCCAUGGAACUGAGGCUGCAAGCUCCAGCAAAUGCCACAUUUGCCUCAAAUCUGGGUUACUGCUCGUCUCUAAUCUGCAGCAUGGAUGGUGUCUCACCACGCUAACUUGGAAGCUUCGUGGCCUCCUAACACCUUACCAAAGGCUGAAGGAGAUGUGAUACCUCAGAACAGCUGGCUCUGCCCAAGGAUUUGGCAUCCACUGCUCCUCUUGAAGCCCAGGAGACCCGAGAGAAGUGCUGGAGGUACAACACAGCUGGAAGCUCGGCUCGCAGGCAGACACAAAAGUGGAACAGGAAAGCAGGAGAAAAGAAACGCUCCUUUGUCUCGUGGUUGAACUGGUUGCCCUUGCUGGGAUACAAGCAGUUCAUCUGGGCAGAGAAACCCACUGGCCCACUUGGCAUCCUGCGGCUCUUGGCACACGUUAAACAGGUCGGUAGGUGGUCUGGCACAGAGCUCUGGACGUGCUUUCUCACAAGGGUUCUUGCUUCGCAGGGGGAAAAACAGUUCAACGGAAAGAUCUUUUCUGCAGGGUUCAUCAAUGGCUUCAUGGCAGUCAGGGAAUGGUGUUCAGUGUGUUGCUGAACGCUAAAAAUGCUUUGAUUCUCCGAGGUGCUACAGUUCAUUUUGUUGGUACAGUCUUAUUUGGAAAUAAGGAAAUUUGUUCUGUCCCAGUGCUUUAUGCAGCAGUUUUGGUAGAGGAACUGUGGAUAUAGAGAUCGUGACAUUACUGGAUGAAAUAAUCCUGCUGGAGAUGUUAGGAAGGCUGACCAAGAGUCACUGUGCUCCUCUCUGCCUGGAUAUCUGUUUUGGCUCUGAGGACUGUGAAGCAUCUCGUUUGCUCACCCCAAAUCUUUGAAGGAGCUGAUUAUGCUGACAGUUAGUCUUACUAAUUGUUAUUAUAUCAUUGCUGCAGGAAUAGAUUAAUUCUUAUGUAAAGUAUGCCUGAUUUACACUCAGCUCUUAGAAGAACUUUUCGUUUCAAGUAGGGAUGUAGGUAGGAAAUAAGAGGAAGCCAGUAGAAAAUUCAGGAUGUGCUGGACAAAUUUGAGACGUAUUUUCUAUCAGUCUGAUGCUGUUUCUCAGCCCUUCUUUUUUGCACGGUUUGUUCUUGUAACAGCUGACCAUUACCUGAAAGGUAACAAUUUUCCUCUAUGAUCUUUCACUUAUGGGCACUGAGGGGACAUUGGGCCAUGACUGAGGCAGUGGCCAUGAUACGUUAUUGAAGCUGAUAGUUACAGCCUCAGCAGUGUCAUCAGCUGGAUCAGCAAAACUGACCCUACAAGGAAGAUGUGAAGUUUUAUGUCUUUCACUGGAGUUUAAUCUGUCAUAAUCUUACUCUUAUUUCUUCUCAGCGGUUUGAACUGCGACUUUUACUUGUAGUAAAGAUGGAUUAUCUGUG
rnacentral:lncRNA from 1 species